GUUCAGGUAAAUUGGCGCAAAUGAGUUCCGAAAACUGGCGCAAUUGAUACAUUUGAAAAAAAAUGGCGCGAAUGAUACCCCUGAAAAACAGAAAUUGGCGAAAAAGGAAUGCUGCCCUUUUUUUAAAUGGCAAAUAUGUUUGAUUACGUAUGAAGAUACUUUGUACCAAGUUUGAUGAAAGAGUCAACAUCGAAAUUUUUUAAAGUUGUUAGAUGUACCGUAAAAAAUGCCGUUUUUGUCCUCAAAUCCUACAGCGUUGUUGAAAAUCAAUUAUUUGUAAUGAACUAUUACGUACAUAUUAAAAGGAAAAUAAUGUAAAAAAG
rnacentral:lncRNA from 1 species